rnacentral:rRNA from 1 species
CAGUCGCCGCGGGAAUACGAAGGGAGCUAGCGUUGUUCGGAUUUACUGGGCGUAAAGGGCGCGUAGGCGGGCGAAUAAGUCAGGGGUGAAAUCCCAAGGCUCAACCUUGGAACUGCCUUUGAUACUGUUUGUCUUGAGUUCGAGAGAAGUAAGUGGAACUGCGAGUGUAGAGGUGAAAUUCGUAGAUAUUCGCAAGAACACCAGUGGCGAAGGCGGCUUACUGGCUCGAAACUGACGCUGAGGCGCGAAAGCGUGGGGAGCAAACAGGAUUAGAUACCCGCGUAGUCCCUGUCUCUUAUAC